rnacentral:rRNA from 1 species
AGUGAACGCUGGCGGUAGGCCUAACACAUGCAAGUCGAACGGCAGCACAGAGGAGCUUGCUCCUUGGGUGGCGAGUGGCGGACGGGUGAGGAAUACAUCGGAAUCUACUCUGUCGUGGGGGAUAACGUAGGGAAACUUACGCUAAUACCGCAUACGACCUACGGGUGAAAGCAGGGGAUCUUCGGACCUUGCGCGAUUGAAUGAGCCGAUGUCGGAUUAGCUAGUUGGCGGGGUAAAGGCCCACCAAGGCGACGAUCCGUAGCUGGUCUGAGAGGAUGAUCAGCCACACUGGAACUGAGACACGGUCCAGACUCCUACGGGAGGCAGCAGUGGGGAAUAUUGGACAAUGGGCGCAAGCCUGAUCCAGCCAUACCGCGUGGGUGAAGAAGGCCUCGGUUGUAAG